rnacentral:rRNA from 1 species
GAUGAACGCUAGCGGCAGGCCUAAUACAUGCAAGUCGAACGGUGUCUUCGGACAUAGUGGCGCACGGGUGCGUAACACGUAUGCAACCUACCUUACAUUGGGGGAUAGCCUUUCGAAAGGGAGAUUAAUACCGCAUAAGACAGUAGCUGGGCAUCCAGCAGCUGUUAAAGAUUUAUCGAUGUAAGCUGGGCAUGCGUCCAAUUAGCUAGUUGGUGAGGUAACGGCUCACCAAGGCAAUGAUUGGUAGGGGAACUGAGAGGUCAAUCCCCCACCCUGGGACUGAGAUACGGGCCAGACUCCUACGUGAGGCAGCAGUGGGGAAUAUUGGGCAAUGGACGCAAGUCUGACCCAGCCAUGCCGCGUGCAGGAUGAAGGCGUUAUGCGUUGUAAACUGCUUUUAUACAGGAAGAAACGACUCUUGCGAGAGGCAUUGACGGUACUGUAUGAAUAAGCACCGGCUAACUCCGUGCCAGCCGCCGCAGUAAAAC